rnacentral:lncRNA from 1 species
CUUCCUUCCUUCCUUCCUCCCUUCCCUCUCUCCCAUCCCUCUCUGUUAUAGGGUUUUUCCAUGUAUCCCGGGGUUACCUCAAACCUGAGAUCCUGCCUCAGCCUCCUGAGUGCCAGGAUUACAGGCCCACUCCACUGUUGAUGUUUGCUAAAUCUCUUUUCUAUUGUGGACCCACUACAGAGGUUGGCACACAAAGUUCUCCAUGAUAAUUUGCUUAAAGAACAGGUAUAAAAAUCUCUGUCGUCACGUGGAGUGUCCCGACACUAGAUUGACCCUUCAUUAGAGACUGCACCAGACUCCAGGUGAUACUGUAGUGAGGAACAUGCCCAAGGCACAAAACUGCAAAGCUGAAACCAACUUCUCUUUGAAAAAACUCCCCAGAGCAGGGAGAUACAGGUUGUCUGCAAGCAAUUCUUCAGCCAAAAUAACGGACAGAAACAAAGUGAGUCAGAAAACAUGAAAAUGGAGUUCACUUCCAUCCAAUCAACUUUAACAAUGUAAGACAAUUGCAACACAGUGUUUUUCUUUGUUUUGCUUUUCUUUGUAGGGGUCUAGCUAGCAUACCCACGUUGCUUAGAUAAAUAUUUACCAAAUAUGCUAUUGUUUUUACAUAAAUUAAUAAUCAUUGAAGACUUUAUCUAGGUUUUAUUAUCCAGUGUGCUAAACACAUUUAACCUUCAUAAAUAAAAGUUCUUUGGGAGCCUCA